rnacentral:misc_RNA from 1 species
AACGCACCUUGCGCUCCUUGGUAUUCCGAGGAGCAUGCCUGUUUGAGUGUCAUUAAAUUCUCAACCUCACCCGUUUUCUGAACGGUACUCGAGGCUUGGAUGUGGGGGUUUGUGCAGGCUGCCUCAGCGCUGGUCUGCUCCCCUGAAAUGCAUUAGCGAGUUCAUACUGAACCUCCGUCUAUUGGUGUGAUAAUUAUCUACGCCGUGGACUGGGUUUAGACUCGCUUCUAACCGUCCGCAAGGACAAUACCUUUGACAAUUUGACCUCAAAUCAGGUAGGACUACCCGCUGAACUUAA